GUGCAUGAUCCUGGCUGGUGCUGGGUGCAGGCUUCAAACCUGUGGGGGCUUGGCGGCCCAGUUGUUCGAUUCAACCUUG
rnacentral:tRNA from 13 species